rnacentral:rRNA from 1 species
GACGAACGCUGGCGGCGUGCCUAAUACAUGCAAGUAGAACGCUGAAGGAGGAGCUUGCUUCUCUGGAUGAGUUGCGAACGGGUGAGUAACGCGUAGGUAACCUGCCUGGUAGCGGGGGAUAACUAUUGGAAACGAUAGCUAAUACCGCAUAACAGUAGAUAUCGCAUGAUAUCUACUUGAAAGGUGCAAUUGCAUCACUACCAGAUGGACCUGCGUUGUAUUAGCUAGUUGGUGAGGUAACGGCUCACCAAGGCGACGAUACAUAGCCGACCUGAGAGGGGGAUCGGCCACACUGGGACUGAGACACGGCCCAGACUCCUACGGGAGGCAGCAGUAGGGAAUCUUCGGCAAUGGACGGAAGUCUGACCGAGCAACGCCGCGUGAGGGAAGAAGGUUUUCGGAUCGUAAAGCUCUGUUGUAAGAGAAGAAAGAGGGUGAGAGUGGAAAGUUCACAAUGUGACGGUAUCUUACCAGAAAGGGACGGCUAACUACGUG